rnacentral:tRNA from 1 species
GGGGAUGUAGUUAAAAAUAACAUUUAAUUUGCAAUUAAAAAGUACUUUUCAAGUCUUCCUCA